rnacentral:rRNA from 1 species
UACAGGGGGUGCAAGCGUUGCUCGGAAUCAUUGGGCGUAAAGCGCACGUAGGCGGUCUGUUAUGUCGGAUGUGAAGGCCCUUGGCUUAACUGAGGAAGUGCAUCCGAAACUGGCAGGCUAGAGUACUAAAGAGGGUCGCGGAAUUCCCGGUGUAGAGGUGAAAUUCGUAGAUAUCGGGAGGAACACCGGUGGCGAAGGCGGCGACCUGGGUAGAUACUGACGCUGAGGUGCGAAAGCGUGGGGAGCAAACAGG